rnacentral:rRNA from 1 species
UGCCAGCCGCCGCGGUAAUACGGAGGGUGCAAGCGUUGUUCGGAAUUAUUGGGCGUAAAGCGCGUGUAGGCGGUUCGUUAAGUCUGAUGUGAAAGCCCGGGGCUCAACCCCGGACGUGCAUUUGAAACAGUAAGACUUGAGUACGGGAGAGGAAAGCGGAAUUCCUGGUGUAGAGGUGAAAUUCGUAGAUAUCAGGAGGAACACCGGUGGCGAAGGCGGCUUUCUGGACCGAUACUGACGCUGAGGUGCGAAGGCGUGGGGAGCGGACAGGAUUAGAUA